GUGCUUCCUUUAGCAGCACAUAUACUAAAAUUGGAUUGAUACAGAGAAGGUUAGCAUAGCCGCUGUACAAAGAUGACAUGCAAAUUUGCGAAGUAUUCCAUGUUUGU
ensembl:snRNA U6 U6 spliceosomal RNA